UGCCCUUGACAAAGAGGACAUCAAGGCAACAUCAACACACAAGUAGAAGCUGAGCAGGACUGUCAAACAACUCCUGAAGAAACUUCCAAAGGACAGACGAAUUUGUCAAGAAGAUGACGUGCUCCAGGUGUUUGCUACUUAUUCUGGUUGUCUACUUCUUGAUGGACGAGCUUUGUGCUUUCCUGAUACCAGACAGACUGCGAGUGAAAAGAAGCAAUCACAGGUCAGAUCAGGAGAUGUCACCACAUAUCUAUGAGCUCUCUGAUCUGGCUGACUUGUUCCCAAGAAAUGAAGGGGAAAUGACUCGGGACUGGGAACCCAAUCCCGCCAAGACUCCCGAUUUCUUUUCCCCUAUGGAACACAUCAAUGUGCAACCAGCAAACAGCAACCGCCGCAAAAACAAGGAGAAGAGGCGAGUAGAAAUAUUGACUUAUUUUAUUAAAAAAUAUUUAUGAAAACACAAGUUUAAUAAAAAUGUAUAGAGCAUAUGUAUUUUAAUUAGUAUAUUUAACCUCAUAGUAUUAAACUUCUUUAAAUGUCUAUUUUACAAUAAGUAAAGUGCUUUUCAAUUUUUUUUUUUUAUGGAACUGUUAGUUUUCUGUGCAAGCUAUCUCAUAAUUUAAGCCCAAAUUCUCACACGAUUCC